GCUUUAGCUGCAGCACAGCCACUUACCCAAGCCCUAACUCGCAUCCGCCUUCUCCUUACUGCCGACCUACUGCUUCGUUUCUUUCCUUACUCUGUUGCUAGCUAGAUAGUCAGGUAAUGUGUAUGUUUUCGUUCGUGAGUAACUUGCUCUGUUUUUCUUCUUUUUUUUUUUUUUUUUUUGAAAUGGAUCUUUUUUUUUUUUUAAAUAACUCUUUAAUUUGCACUUAUUUCAUGUUUGUUUAAGUUAUUAAUAGCAUUUAGUUUUAUUAGCUUUGCCUAGUUAUGAGCAUGUUAUUGUAUUUUUCAAUUUUUUUCGUUUGGAAAUUAUGCUCUGGACAUUGCUGGGUGAAGUCGGCUGGCCACGAAAAGGUUGAAGAUGAUGGAGGGAAAAUAGCAUUUAGGUCCCUUCUUUUUUAAUAAUAUUUUAGUAUGACCUAAUAUUUAGAAACUGUUUACAUAUAAGAAUUCUAUUAUGAUUUAGUUUGUUUGCUAACUUUGCAUAAUGGUCCUUGACCGAAGGUCAACUAGAUAAAAUAUCAUUUGAGUCCUUCAUAUUUUGCUAGUUUCUACUAUGGCAUAAAUACUUAUUUUAUUUUAUUUACAUUUUGGGCCUAAACUUUUGAUAUUAAACAUAGUAACUAUAAUUUUGAAAAAUCUUCGUUUUAGUCCAAAAUUCUUGCUUUUUUUUUAAUACAAAUUUGUAAAUUAUUUUUUUGGUUUGAUUAUACAUUGAUUACAGUAGGCUUUGUGUGCAGGAUGGAAGAAAAUAGCAAUGUUGUAGAGGAGAUUAUGAAGGAUGAUUUUGAGGAGGGUGUUGAAAUAGAAAAUUAUUUGAAAAAUCGAACCGAAAAUCGAACUGUUAAGAUGAACCGAAAAACCGAUUGCUUAAAUAAAACCGUUAAGAGAACUGAAACCAAUCUGAAACCGAAAACCGAAACUGACCUAUCAGUUUUGAUUCGGUUUUUUUGAAAAAAAAAAACCGAACGGUUUUUUUAAAUUUUAGAUCCGAACCGAACUAAACCGAUGCCCACCCCUAUCGAGGAGGAUCUAAGACUUUUGUUGUAAAUUUUUACCACGGUAAAUAUGGUAAUUGUAAAAUUAUAAAUUUUUAUCAUGUUAGGUAUGGUAAUUGUUAGUGGAAUGUGUUGGAUAUGCUUGAGUGGAUAAGUUAGGUUUAUGUUUUAUUAAUGGGAUUAUUAGUAGGACAAAUGUAAGGUGAAGAUGUAAUUAGAUUUUUUUAUUUGUGUGGUGAGGAUUUACCAUGUAUUAGUAUAAAUAGAGGGGGGUGAACACGCCUCUUCACACGUUCUCUUCUUUUCUUUUCCCCCAAAUUCUUCUUCUCAUCUCUC
rnacentral:lncRNA from 1 species